CUCUCAAAUAAAUAAAUAAAAUUUUUUUUAAAAAUUAAAAAAAAAAGAUGAGUAUAUGGGGGGUGAGUAUUACCAUGAGUAUUAACUUUCCCGGUCAUACCAGGGGUGUGUGUAAGGGGGGGGGGCUCCAAAGGCACCCGGCCUUGUCAGGAGCCGGUUCAGAGGGUAAAUGAUCACACGGGCUGCUUAGGGUGACUGUGUGGGCGUCACCUCUGAAGGCCACCAACCUGAAGGACCCGAGCACUGUGAAUCUGGAGAAACUGCAGCCCCCAGGCCAUCUGAGGCUAGGGAAGCCCUUGAGUGUCAAGUCAUCCCCUCCCCCACCCCACCCACACCUGUGGAGCCAGCUGGAUCCCAGGAGAAAUGUCCCAAGAGCCACCCUUUGCUUUCUGAGGGGAGUGUGAGGCCAGCGACCUGGCUUGGAGGGGGGUGAGGAUGUGCAUUUGAGCCUGAGAUGACCGGGCAUCUGAGUUAAUCUGAGUGCUGAUUAACAGAUCCUGGGCAAAGUCCCUCUGGAGCUGCGGAGAGGGGGCAGCUGCUGUGGGGGUGCGGUGGGAAGGGCACGGGGGAAGUUGCCACCUGGGGCUCAAGUAAUACUUGGGAACACACCGGAGGGUGCAUCAGAGACCCUUGGGUACGACCCGCUCUUGGUACAGAUGAGGAAACCGAGGCACGAGUUUCCACAGCAACUCACUGAAGGAACCAGAGGAGAAGCUCUCCAUACACAAGUCUGGACUCGUUUGAGGUUCUCCACAAGCCUGCGACUCUCCUGUUACCGCCAUCAUUUCUCAGUCCGGGGAACAGAGGUUCAGAGAGGUAGCCAGACCCAGGUCACACAGCUGGCUUUACACCCAAUGUGGAGCUUGAACUCACAAUCCUGAGAUCAAGAGUUGCACGCUCCACGGGCUGAGUCGACCAGGCGUCCCUAACUGCACUUAAAUUGGAAAAAAAAAAAAAAAAGAAAGAAAGAAAGAAGAAAAAGUUCAAUGCUGCAAGAAUAACUGGCCUACGGUCUGACUGAGAAGGAGCCCUCCAGGUGAGGAAGGGAGAAGAGAAAAUCAGGCAGAAGGAACAGCAAGUACAAUGGCUCAGAGGCUUGGAAAUGAGCUCCAAGAAUUCGAGAAUCAGAAAGAAGGCUAGCACAGCAGGAUUUAAGGGGAUGAGGUAAGGUGUCAUCAGAUGCUGCCGAAAAGAUAAGUGUCUGUGUGUUGUAGACUGUAAGGAGCUUGGUACCCCCUCCUCCAGGAAGCCCUCUUUGACUGCCUCAAGUGCCUCCCCUCCUAACCCUGUUCACUCUAGGGUUGUCACUCUCUAGUCACUGGCCCAACUCCCGCAAUGCCCUGUGAGGACAGGGCCGGCCGGUCACCACUGUGUCCCCAACACUGCCCAGCACAUGGCCGGGUACACAGCAGAUACUUGGUACAUGCCUUAGAAAGCUCUUCUUCUCUGCCUCCCUGACUCCCCUCAGCCUCACCCCUUCCUGACUCUGCCCUGCAUUCCUGAGCUCUCCAUAUGGCUACUUUCUUUCAUCCCAUCCUCAAAAGCUUCGCUGGGGAGGAUUCCCAGCUCCAGUCCCUCUCACGGGCUGCAGGCCCAGAGGUGAAGGCUCUGAAGUGGUCAGAUCAAACACUUCCAGGGCUGGGCUUGGGCCGGGCCAGCGUGGGGAGGCUCAGAGGAGAGGGAGGUUCCCAGGCGUGGGUGUUCCGAGGGAAGAGAAGGGAGGGGGGGAUGGGCAGGGCGCGCCUCCAUCAUCAUGACAUGACUUUCAGUUGCUCAUUCAUUUUGUGCCAGAUGCUGGGCUAAUCUUUUUUUAUUUUUUAUUUUUUUAUUUAUUUGACAGAUAGACAGCAAGAGAGGGAACA